UCCUAUAGUGUGGAAAAACCUUUGAAAAUGAAUUGAGGUCACAAGAAUCCCCUAACUCUUAAGAUGAGUUGAAAACAAUUCCAUCGAUUAAGUUUUAGUGGACGCUUAAACUUGGGUCAACUUUCAUCGACUAUAAAUCCUGCUAUACAGUGAACUGGGUGGACUUCUAUAUAUCAAAUGAAAGGUAUUUGAGUCUUUUUUCUAACGCAACUGAUUUCAUCCAAAUCCAGCAUCGGAGGAAAGAGUUCUGCCCAAUUUACUUCAGCAUAUCAAUCUGUCAAACCAAGGGACUGCUGCGACGUUUUUGAUUUAUUUAGGGGUAUUUUCGUCAUUUUGCUCACCCAAAAUCCGUUUAAAACAUGGAAUUUGAUACCCAAGAAGCCAAAAACUGCUUAUUAUUUACUCUUCCUUUCAAAAUUAAAACCCUAACUCAUCCCCCAAAGAUCAAGAAGUCAUUCCGAAGAUCAAGAAUUCCAAGAAAUGGAUCAAGAUCCGAGUUCUACUCCUUAAGCUAAGUAAUCUAAGGAUCUGAGGCACAGUCUCGGGGUCCAGUUCAGAAAUAGGUUUGAGUGUGUCAGAAGUUACAAUUGGUGAGCCUUUUUUAUUUCGGAAGGCUUGAUUUUCAGAUUUCAUUGUUUCUUUCUUUAUGGUCUUUUGGGGGCCUUGUCCCAGUUUUGUUUCAGACUUAAGAUGGUCAUUGUAAUGUUACAGAUUUCGCAGACGAUUGUCACAUGUUUAGAAUAUUCAGAAUUUUCCUUUUAAAUUGUUCAAGUUUAUUAAAGUUGACCAUGAUUCCGUUGUAAUAUUUUCUUUCCA